rnacentral:rRNA from 1 species
CCCCUAGAUGUUCUGGGCCGCGCGCGCGCUACACUGAACAGUUCAACAAGUCUUAACCUUGGCCGAUAGGUCUGGGUAAUCUUUGAACGCUGUUCGUGACUGGGAUAGACCUUUGCAAUUAUGGGUCUUCAACGAGGAAUUCCUAGUAAACGCAAGUCAUCAGCUUGCAUUGAUUACGUCCCUGCCCUUUGUACACACCGCCCGUCGCACCUACCGAUUGAAUGGUCCGGUGAAAUCUCGGGACGGCGGCUUGGUCGCUUGCGUCCGACUGCUGAAACUUGAUUAAACCAUAUCAUUUAGAGGAAGGUGAANUCGUAACA